UACGUAGGGCGCAAGCGUUGUCCGGAAUUAUUGGGCGUAAAGAGCUCGUAGGCGGUUUGUCGCGUCUGCUGUGAAAGCCCGGGGCUCAACCCCGGGUCUGCAGUGGGUACGGGCAGACUAGAGUGCAGUAGGGGAGACUGGAAUUCCUGGUGUAGCGGUGAAAUGCGCAGAUAUCAGGAGGAACACCGAUGGCGAAGGCAGGUCCUGGCUGGUCUGACUGCUGAGGAGAGGAA
rnacentral:rRNA from 1 species